UACGAAGGGGCUAGCGUUGUUCGGAAUUACUGGGCGUAAAGCGCACGUAGGCGGGUUGUUAAGUCAGGGGUGAAAUCCCGGAGCUCAACUCCGGAACUGCCUUUGAUACUGGCAAUCUAGGAGACUGGAAGAGGUUAGUGGAAUUCCCAGUGUAGAGGUGAAAUUCGUAGAUAUUGGGAAGAACACCAGUGGCGAAGGCGGCUGAACCUGGUCCAGUACUGACGCUGAGG
rnacentral:rRNA from 1 species